rnacentral:tRNA from 1 species
GCUCACGUGGCCCAGUGGCGAGGGCAGCUCCUUGUCGAGGAGACGAUCGCGGGUUCGAGUCCCGUCGUGAGCG